GACAGAGGGUGCAAACGUUGCUCGGAAUCACUGGGCGUAAAGGGCGCGUAGGCGGGGAUGUAAGUCGGGCGUGAAAUCCCCAGGCUCAACCUGGGAACUGCACUCGAAACUGCGUUUCUUGAGUAUCGGAGAGGAAAGCGGAAUUCCUGGUGUAGAGGUGAAAUUCGUAGAUAUCAGGAGGAACACCAGUGGCGAAGGGCGCUUUCUGGACGGUAAC
rnacentral:rRNA from 1 species